UGGGGAAUCUUCCGCAAUGGACGAAAGUCUGACGGAGCAACGCCGCGUGAGUGAUGACGGCCUUCGGGUUGUAAAGCUCUGUUAAUCGGGACGGAUGGUUCUUGUGCGAAUAGUGCGAGGAUUUGACGGUACCGGAAUAGAAAGCCACGGCUAACUACGUGCCAGCAGCCGCGGUAAUACGUAGGUGGCAAGCGUUGUCCGGAAUUAUUGGGCGUAAAGCGCGCGCAGGCGGAUUGGUCAGUCUGUCUUAAAAGUUCGGGGCUUAACCCCGUGAUGGGAUGGAAACUGCCAAUCUAGAGUAUCGGAGAGGAAAGUGGAAUUCCUAGUGUAGCGGUGAAAUGCGUAGAUAUUAGGAAGAACACCAGUGGCGAAGGCGACUUUCUGGACGAAAACUGACGCUGAGGCGCGAAAGCCAGGGGAGCGAACGGGAUUAGAUACCCCGGUAGUCCUGGCCGUAAACGAUGGGUACUAGGUGUAGGAGGUAUCGACCCCUUCUGUGCCGGAGUUAACGCAAUAAGUACCCCGCCUGGGGAGUACGACCGCAAGGUUG
rnacentral:rRNA from 1 species